rnacentral:rRNA from 1 species
UGUGCCUACGGGAUGCAGCAGUGGGGAAUAUUGCGCAAUGGGCGAAAGCCUGACGCAGCGACGCCGCGUGGGUGAAGGAGCGUUUCGGCGCGUAAAGCCCUAUCGGCAGGGAAGAAGGAGGACGGUACCUGACUAAGAAGCCCCGGCUAACUACGUGCCAGCAGCCGCGGUAAUACGUAGGGGGCAAGCGUUAUCCGGAUUUACUGGGUGUAAAGGGGGCGCAGACGGCAGCGCAAGCCAGGAGUGAAAGCCCGGGGCCCAACCCCGGGACUGCUCUUGGAACUGCGCGGCUGGAGUGCAGGAGG